UACGUAGGGGCCUAGCGUUGUCCGGAAUUAUUGGGCGUAAAGAGCUCGUAGGCGGUUCGGCAAGUCGGAUGUGAAAUCUCCACGCUUAACGUGGAGGGGGCAUUCGAAACUGCUGUGACUCGAGUCCGGUAGGGGAGUGUGGAAUUCCCGGUGUAGCGGUGAAAUGCGCAGAUAUCGGGAGGAACACCAGUAGCGAAGGCGGCACUCUGGGCCGGAACUGACGCUGAGGAGCGAAAGCGUGGGGAGCGAACAGG
rnacentral:rRNA from 1 species